rnacentral:SRP_RNA from 1 species
GCCGGGCGUGGUGGCGGGUGCCUGUAAUCCCAGCUACUUGGGAGGCUGAGGUAGGAGAAUUGCUUGAACCCAGGAGGCAGAGGUUGCAGUGAGCCAAGAUCAUGCCACUGCACUCCAACCUGGGUGACAGAGCAAGACUCUGUCUCCA